GAUGAACGCUGGCGGCGUGCCUAACACAUGCAAGUCGAGCGAUCUUCUUCGGAAGAGAGCGGCGGACGGGUGAGUAACGCGUGGGUAACCUGCCUCAUACACAUGGAUAACAUACCGAAAGGUAUGCUAAUACAAGAUGAUAUAAGAGAUUCGCAUGGAUUUCUUAUCAAAGCUCCGGCGGUAUGAGAUGGACCCGCGUCUGAUUAGCUAGUUGGUAAGGUAACGGCUUACCAAGGCGACGAUCAGUAGCCGACCUGAGAGGGUGAUCGGCCACAUUGGAACUGAGACACGGUCCAAACUCCUACGGGAGGCAGCAGUGGGGAAUAUUGCACAAUGGGCGAAAGCCUGAUGCAGCAACGCCGCGUGAGCGAUGAAGGCCUUCGGGUCGUAAAGCUCUGUCCUCAAGGAAGAUAAUGACGGUACUUGAGGAGGAAGCCCCGGCUAACUACGUGCCAGCAGCCGCAGUAA
rnacentral:rRNA from 1 species